rnacentral:rRNA from 1 species
UACAGAGGGUGCGAGCGUUAAUCGGAAUUACUGGGCGUAAAGCGCGCGUAGGCGGCUUUGCAAGUCGGGUGUGAAAUCCCCAGGCUUAACCUGGGAACUGCAUUCGAGACUGCAUUGCUAGAGUAUGGGAGAGGGAAGUGGAAUUUCAGGUGUAGCGGUGAAAUGCGUAGAUAUCUGAAGGAACAUCAGUGGCGAAGGCGAGUCUCUGGACGACUCCUGACACUGAGGCACGAAAGCCAGGGGAGCAAACAGG